rnacentral:misc_RNA from 1 species
AUUGCUACCAAUGCUACGGCUGGGGAGUGGGCAUCGUAGACACGUUUUUUCUUGUUCAUUCUCAACGUGGAUUUUCUAACGAUCACACACGAUUUUAUUAACGUGCAAAAAAAGAGAAUAACCUGAGAUAUGGCAAUUGAGACUCAUUGGGUUGAAAAGUUCCAGGCGAUUUCAAAAGAAGAAAACAAUUCAUCAACCAAGAUAACUAAAAAUGAUUUGCAUCCACGUGGUCCAAGUUAUGGUAAUGAUACGGAACGUAAACAAAUGUUGAAUGAAAGACGAAGACAAUUUUUAGAACAGCGCAAAAUGCGCAUGAUACGCAUGCAGCCACUAUUUGCAAGUCAACCAAGACUUGAAAUAAUUUGCCAAAAUUGGAAUAAUGAUUUUGUUGAUUCCGGCUUUACAACAUAUAAUUUUUUUCGACAAUCCACUGAAUCAUUUGAAAGUCGAGAAGAUGAUUUAAAAUAUAUGAUAAAACUCUGUGGAUAUAAUUUGACGAAGCUUGAUUUAUAUAGGUAUCCUUCUUCUCGAAUAAUGCCAUUGAUUAAAUCAAAAUGUUUAAAUCUGUCGUCACUUACAAUAAGAUUUAAAGAAGUGGAAAGUAAAGAUUUUAAUAAUGUUUUUUCUAACAUGAGUCAUCUUGAAAAAUUAGUAAUUCGUUGGCAACGUGACAACUCAUUUUUACCAAUGACUUUGGUCAAGUCAUUGGAACAAGUUCGUGAAACCUUGAAAUUUUUAGUCAUUUCAUGUGAUCCAGAAGACGAACGAGUUGGAUCAAUUUCUUCUACAUUAUCUCCAGAAACUGAAGCUCUAAUGGCUGUCAUUGGCAAUAUGAAGAAUCUCGAGACUGCAACAAUCGAAUUGGAUUAUAGUGUUACAGAUGAGUUAAUCAUAAAUCUUGCCAAUAAUUCUAAAAAUUUGAGAUUUUUACAUGUAUAUGGUUCAAAAAUAACUGAUAAAGGUUUAAUUGCACUUAAUAAGUUGAAUCAAUUAAAAGACUUUAAUCUUGGCUUAAGGGCAACAGGUACAGAAAAUAAAUCCAUCACUGAUCAGUCAAUUCAAUGUUUGUCUAACAACACAAUAGUAUACUUGGACAUAUCAGAAUGCAUUCAAGUUACUAAUAGCUCAGUCAUUGAACUUGUUAAAAAUUUACCAAAUUUAAAAAUUCUCCGUAUUGAAAAUACUAAAGCAACUAUUGACGUUGUCAAAGAAAUCAUCGAAUUGAAAAGAAACUCUGAACUGUUGUUAACUGUAAUGGUUUCUUUUGAAAUUAAUGAUGAUAUUACUGAAUAUUUCACGAACCGAACAGUAUCGUUCGAUAGUUCAUUUGAAAAAUAAUAUACUUUAUAUUAAUUAUUGUCUUUGCUUGUAUUUUUCAAUGCAGCAUAUUUUUUUUUCAAAAAUUAAAAAUUCACAGUUCAAUUAAUUUAAUUGAAAAUUAAAUUAAUUAUAUAAUACAUUGUACUAAUUAUUUUCAAUAAAUAUUGGAAAAUUAUAUUGUCAUAAUUUGAUUGUUUUAUUUAAUGUAAAGAAAAUAAUUUUUUUUUUUUUUUUUUUCGAAUAAAUAAUGUACUACUUUAUCCAUUUAUUUUCAUCCAGUUGUUAUUUCUUGCCUUAUAAUAUUAAAAAAUACUUUGACUGGCUUUUAACUCAAUUGUGCUUUUAAUUUUUUUUGCACAAAUAUUAAUAAAAUAAAUUAAUAAUUAAGAAUAGUUUAUAAUUUACAAAAAACUAUAAGUGAUUUUGAGUCAAUAUAAUUAAAACUUAAAUAAUCAAAUUAUUUAAAAUUUAUACCAUGAUUUUCCCUUCUUGAUAUACCAUUAUGCUACCAACGCUACCAAUGCUACCAAUGCUACCAAUGCUACCAAUACUACGGCUGAGUAGUGGGCAUCGUAGACACGUUUUUUCUUGUUCAUUCUCAACGUGGAUUUUCUAGCGAUCACACACGAUCUUAUCAACGUGCAAAGAAAAGAGAAUAACCUGAAAUAUGGAGACUGUUGCAAUUGAGAAUCAAUGGAUUGAAAAGUUCCAGGCGAUUUCAAAA